rnacentral:RNase_P_RNA from 1 species
CCAGUUGACCGGGUGGCCGCUGCGCACGAGGUGACUCGUGCGGGGAGGAAAGUCCGGGCUCCAUCGAAAUACGGUGACGGCUAACGGCCGCCGGGGGCGACCCCAGGGAAAGUGCCACAGAAAGCAAACCGCCGGUCCCCAGGGACCGGCAAGGAUGAAAGGGUGCGGUAAGAGCGCACCGCGGACCUGGCAACAGGGACGGCACGGCAAACCCCACCGGGAGCAAGACCAAAUAGGGGUGACGCGGCCAGCGGGCGACCGUUGGCCGGCCGGUUUUCGAGGUCAGUCACCCGGGUUGGUUGCAUGAGAGCGUCGGUAACGGCGCUCCUAGAUGAAUGGCCGCCACGUCCGCCGCAAGGCGGGCCCUACAGAACCCGGCUUACAGGUCAACUGGCACU